CAGUAGCCGCGGGAAUACGUAGGUGGCAAGCGUUGUCCGGAAUUAUUGGGCGUAAAGGGCUCGCAGGCGGUUUCUUAAGUCUGAUGUGAAAGCCCCCGGCUCAACCGGGGAGGGUCAUUGGAAACUGGGAAACUUGAGUGCAGAAGAGGAGAGUGGAAUUCCAUGUGUAGCGGUGAAAUGCGUAGAUAUAUGGAGGAACACCAGUGGCGAAGGCGACUCUCUGGUCUGUAACUGACGCUGAGGCUCGAAAGCGUGGGGAGCAAACAGGAUUAGAUACCCCCGUAGUCCCUGUUUCUUAUAU
rnacentral:rRNA from 1 species